AGUGAACGUUGGCGGCGUGGAUUAGGCAUGCAAGUCGAGCGAGGACCGUAGCAAUACGGGGACAGCGGCGAAAGGGACAGUAAUGUGUAGGUACCUACCUCCGGGUUCGGGAUAGCUGCGGGAAACUGCAGGUAAUACCGAAUAACGUCUCCGGACCAAAGGUGUGAUUCCACCUGGAGAGGGGCCUGCAUCCUAUUAGCUUGUUGGCGGGGUAACGGCCCACCAAGGCGACGAUGGGUAGCGGGUGUGAGAGCACGACCCGCGUCAUUGGGACUGAGACACUGCGCAGACACCUACUGGUGGCUGCAGUCGAGGAUCUUCGGCAAUGGGCGCAAGCCUGACCGAGCGACGCCGCGUGCGGGAUGAAGGCCUUCGGGUUGUAAACCGCUGUCGUAGAGGAGGAAGUGCAGGGGGGUUCUCCCCUCUGUUUGACCUAUUCUAGGAGGAAGGACGGGCUAAGUUCGUGCCAGCAGCCGCGGUAA
rnacentral:rRNA from 1 species